UACUCUUGACAUCCAGAGAACUUUCCAGAGAUGGAUUGGUGCCUUCGGGAACUCUGAGACAGGUGCUGCAUGGCUGUCGUCAGCUCGUGUUGUGAAAUGUUGGGUUAAGUCCCGCAACGAGCGCAACCCUUAUCCUUUGUUGCCAGCGGUUCGGCCGGGAACUCAAAGGAGACUGCCAGUGAUAAACUGGAGGAAGGUGGGGAUGACGUCAAGUCAUCAUGGCCCUUACGAGUAGGGCUACACACGUGCUACAAUGGCAUAUACAAAGAGAAGCGACCUCGCGAGAGCAAGCGGACCUCAUAAAGUAUGUCGUAGUCCGGAUUGGAGUCUGCAACUCGACUCCAUGAAGUCGGAAUCGCUAGUAAUCGUAGAUCAGAAUGCUACGGUGAAUACGUUCCCGGGCCUUGUACACACCGCCCGUCACACCAUGGGAGUGGGUUGCAAAAGAAGUAGGUAGCUUAACCUUCGGGAGGGCGCUUACCACUUUGUGAUUCAUGACUGGGGUGAAGUCGUAACAAGGUAACCGUAGGGGAACCUGCGGUUGGAUCACCUCCUUA
rnacentral:rRNA from 1 species